rnacentral:rRNA from 1 species
CGGACGGGUGAGUAACGCGUGGGUAACCUGCCUCAUACAGGGGGAUAACAGUUAGAAAUGACUGCUAAUACCGCAUAAGCGCACAGGACCGCAUGGUCCGGUGUGAAAAACUCCGGUGGUAUGAGAUGGACCCGCGUCUGAUUAGCUGGUUGGUGAGGUAACGGCCCACCAAGGCGACGAUCAGUAGCCGGCCUGAGAGGGUGAACGGCCACAUUGGGACUGAGACACGGCCCAAACUCCUACGGGAGGCAGCAG